UACAGAGGUCCCAAGCGUUGUUCGGAUUCACUGGGCGUAAAGGGUGCGUAGGCGGUCGGGUAAGUCUGACGUGAAAUCUUCAAGCUCAACUUGGAAACUGCGUCCGAUACUAUUCGGCUAGAGGAAUGGAGGGGAGACUGGAAUUUACGGUGUAGCGGUGAAAUGCGUAGAUAUCGUAAGGAAGACCAGUGGCGAAGGCGGGUCUCUGGACAGUUCCUGACGCUGAGGCACGAAGGCCAGGGGAGCAAACGGG
rnacentral:rRNA from 1 species